rnacentral:rRNA from 1 species
ACAGCGGAGAGUUUGAUCCUGGCUCAGGAUGAACGCUAGCGGCAGGCUUAACACAUGCAAGUCGCGGGGCAGCGGGGGAUGAGCUUGCUCAUCCCGCCGGCGACCGGCGCACGGGUGAGUAACACGUAUGCAACCUGCCCCUGUCAGGGGGACAACCCACCGAAAGGUGGGCUAAACC